rnacentral:rRNA from 1 species
GACGAACGCUGGCGGCGUGCUUAACACAUGCAAGUCGAACGCUGAAGCUCAGCUUUUGUUGGGUGGAUGAGUGGCGAACGGGUGAGUAACACGUGAGUAACCUGCCUCCUUCUUUGGGAUAACGCCCGGAAACGGGUGCUAAUACUGGAUAUUCACUGGUCUUCGCAUGGGGGUUGGUGGAAAGGGUUUUUCUGGUGGGGGAUGGGCUCGCGGCCUAUCAGCUUGUUGGUGGGGUGAUGGCCUACCAAGGCUUUGACGGGUAGCCGGCCUGAGAGGGUGACCGGUCACAUUGGGACUGAGAUACGGCCCAGACUCCUACGGGAGGCAGCAGUGGGGGCUAUUGCCCCCAGGGCGCCCGCGUGCUGCAGCGACGCCGCGUGAGGGAUGGAGGCCUUCGGGUUGUGAACCUCUUUCGCUCAUGGUCAAGCCGCAACACUGGUUGUGGUGAGGGUAGUGGGUGAAGAAGCGCCGGCUCCCUACGUG